CGGGGUGCAGCAGGCGCGAAAACUUUACAAUGCCGGCAACGGCGAUAAGGGAACCUCGAGUGCCAGGUUACAAAUCUGGCUGUCGUGAUGCCUAAAAAGCAUUGCAUAGCAAGGGCCGGGCAAGACCGGUGCCAGCCGCCGCGGUAACACCGGCGGCUCGAGUGGUAACCGUUAUUAUUGGGUCUAAAGGGUCUGUAGCCGGCCGGAUAAGUCUCUUGGGAAAUCCAGCAGCUCAACUGUUGGGCUUUCAGGAGAUACUGUCUGGCUCGAGGCCGGGAGAGGUGAGAGGUACUUCAGGGGUAGGGGUGAAAUCUUGUAAUCCUUGAAGGACCACCAGUGGCGAAGGCGUCUCACCAGAACGGACCUGACGGCAAGGGACGAAAGCUAGGGGCACGAACCGGAUUAGAUACCCGGGUAGUCCUAGCCGUAAACGAUACUCGCUAGGUGUCGGCCACGGUGCGACCGUGGUCGGUGCCGUAGGGAAGCCGUGAAGCGAGCCACCUGGGAAGUACGGCCGCAAGGCUGAAACU
rnacentral:rRNA from 1 species